rnacentral:lncRNA from 1 species
CUCAUCCCACUCUGAGGCAAAGGAAGGUGAUUUCUCCAACCUCUUCUUCCCGAUGCUGCAGUUGGACAAGGACUCGCUGCGACUCCCCAUUGUGGCGUCCUCCGUGGGGGAGCAGGUCAGGAGGUCAGAGUCAGACUUAGACAAACUGCGGCUGAGUUUGAGCUCAGCUUUGGGCUUGCUGGUGGGAGGGGCUCUGCUUCUGGGCCCGCUCUGGUCUUCUUCCUCAGCACCAGCAGGGCGCAGAGGUACUGUGUGAGUCAAUGCAUCGAGGUAUGUUCUGCUGGCCAGGGCUGUCAGGGCUUAAAUAUGUAAGGGAUUCUCCCCACGUCCUCUGUACGCUCCCUGGUAUCUCAAUUCCGUGUGAACAUAACCUUAGCCUGAAAAUGCAGCUGAAAUGUGUAACUGAAAACUAAAAGUAAUGCUUUAGUGUUUUUGUUUGUUUUCUUCUAAGGCAUUGUCUCACUAUGUAGCCCUGGCUGUCCUGAAACUCAUUCUGUAGACCAGGCUAGCCCUAGCCUUGAACUCACAGAGAUCUACCUGCCUCUGCUUCCUAAGUGCUAGGAUUACAGGUGUGUGUCAUGUCUAGCCUCCUCCAUCUUUUGGGUUCAUCCUUUCUUCCUUCCUUUCUUUGUGUUUUGCACAUUAAAGAUUUAUUUUAUGUAUGUGAGUACACUGCAGCUGUCUUCAGAUACACCAGAAGAGGGCAUUGGAUCCCAUUACAGAUGGCUGUGAGUCACCAUGUGGUUGCUGGGAUUUGAAUUCAGGAC